CCGUCGCGGCGGCCGCCUGGGUGGCCGCAAGCAGGGAGGUGGUGGCGGCGGCGGUGCUCAGGGAGGAGCACCUCGCCAGCAGCAGCCGGCCCCUUAGCCGGCGGCCCCGUGGUACGCCGGCCAGAACCCGUGGACCGGCGUCGUCCACGCCUACUCCAUGCCGGUUCCACGGGCUCCCUCUCCGGGUCUUCUUGGCACCCGGCCUCCGUCACACCAGGCGUACUACGCCGCGCCGCAGCCCUACGCGGCGCCCUACGGGCAGCAGCCGCCGCCAGGCGGGCCGCCGCUGCUGCCCCUGACGUCUGCGCCGUCCCUCCCGCCGGCGCCGUGGGACCCGGCUCUCCUGGCGGCUCUCCACACCGCCCCUUCCCCGUCCAGCUACACCGGCGGCGGCGAUUGGUAAAAUAUCAUCAUUGCCAGGUAUAACCAACUCGAGUGACAACUAGGAUCUCACCCCGGAGCUCAAGACCGGGUCUUCGGGUACCACCAUCCUCGAAGUCAGUCAUGUGUUGUCGCCACAAUUUUUCCGCAAUCCAAGCAUCUACAUGUGAUGCGACAGCCGCUGCUCCACAACCAUCCCUAUGCAUUCAAUCCGUCAUCCAUAGUUUCCAUCCCACAGCCAAAGUCACGCUUGGACGCGCGAAGCGCAACUGCUCCUAGACCAGGAGCGCACAUCCGCCAGAUCAGCCUCGCUCCUGCCGACUGGAGCAUUGUGCCUACCCUGGGCACGUAGCCUGCCACAACAUAGUCCAUCACCAACAGCGGAGCACAUGCCGCGGAUGUAGUGGCGCUCACCGUGUGGAUCUGGACGAGACUAGUUAGAGAUCACUCCUCCAACCAUCCUACAAUCGCCCCGGCAAACUACGGCCAGACCUGUCGAGUUGGAACCACUGCCCAAAUGCAGGAGUGGAUAGCCGCGACCCGAAGGGCCAGACUCUCGCAUCCACGGUUUCAGUGGGGCCAUGGAUUUGACUAAGCUACUCUAUAGAACAACAGAACAGUAACAUGGACCAUGCAAAUGUGGCACCAAGCAAAAUGUCAUACCAAUCAUUGGGAGAAAUGACAAAUGGUUUCUCUAAGGAAAGGGAACUUGGUAGAGGCGCAUAUGGAACCGUCUAUUUGGUAUG